GAUGAACGCUGGCGGCGUGCCUAAUACAUGCAAGUCGAGCGAACAGACGAGGAGCUUGCUCCUCUGACGUUAGCGGCGGACGGGUGAGUAACACGUGGAUAACCUACCUAUAAGACUGGGAUAACUUCGGGAAACCGGCGCUAAUACCGGAUAAUAUAUUUAACCGCAUGGUUCAAUAGUGAAAGACGGUUUUGCUGUCACUUAUAGAUGGAUCCGCGCCGCAUUAGCUAGUUGGUAAGGUAACGGCUUACCAAGGCAACGAUGCGUAGCCGACCUGAGAGGGUGAUCGGCCAAACUGGAACUGAGACACGGUCCAGACUCCUACGGGAGGCAGCAGUAGGGAAUCUUCCGCAAUGGGCGAAAGCUUGACGGAGCAACGCCGCGUGAGUGAUGAAGGUCUUCGGAUCGUAAAACUCUGUUAUUAGGGAAGAACAAAUGUGUAAGUAACUAUGCACGUCUUGACGGUACCUAAUCAGAAAGCCACGGCUAACUACGUG
rnacentral:rRNA from 1 species